rnacentral:ncRNA from 1 species
AUAAAUACUAUGAUAAAGAGAGUAAGUUCAUUGAUAAGUUGUAGAGAGCAGAUGAUGGUGAGAUAUCUGUACGAGUCAUGAAUGGAAGAACACUUUGGAGUAGCUAACCGAAAUUCUUAUAUAAUGGGAAGAGUAGACUUAGACGGGAUCACGCCGUUACAAGUGAAGGGUAUCGAGUAAAAUCUGUACCUUUGAGCUGGACUUUUAUAAGUCAAAUGGGGUGGCACCGCGGUAUGUUAAAAUCUCGUCCCUGUA